rnacentral:lncRNA from 1 species
UGUAUUAAAUAAAAAGUUUAAAGAAAGUAGGCACAAGAAUAAAAUACUAAUCCGCAUGAGAAUGUAAAAGUAGAAGAUUAAUUCAAAAGUUGAAAGCGAUGAUUCAAAUCUAAUUAAUAAAUGCAACAAAUAUAUAUUAAUUUGAGAGGUAUUAAUAAAACAAAAUUGAGGAAAUCAAUAAGAAAAUUAAACAUUGAAAGAUAAAAAAAAGUGAAAGAGACAAAUCAAAGAAACAUGAACAAUCAAGUUAUAGUACUUACUUGAAUUGAUUGGUCAUUUCACAUGAGAUGAGAUCCACCAUAUGCCAAACAAGAAAAGAAAGCCCAUGCCAAAUAAUCAUGAAAGGAUUCUACAACUACAAGCCUUCUUUGUAUGAUAAACUGUUGGUAAUGAGUAAUUGAAGCUGCAACCAUGACCUGAUUAACCUUUCUUUACCCUACCCAUAAACACACACACUGGAUACACCAUGAAAACACACACACACACACUAGAACACCCUACAAGACACAGUUAAUCUACAUACACACUAGAAACCAUCACACAAACACACAUAGGCAAAUCAGUUUGGCAAUAUCAGAUCAUGCUGGCAGCUUCAAUCUCUCAUACAAACAUAAACUGAAUAAAGAUAGAUAGAUAGAGAAGAACAAAAAUAGAGAAUUUAUGGCUGGAAAUAGCACUCUCUACUCUUAUAAAGCUUAUAUAUCUUUCUUGUAAACAGUAUCAUCUUAUAUAGAGAGAGAUCUCAACAGUAAUGAGGUUUUGUGCCUUUCUUCCAGCUAUUCAAAGUUGACCUAUUCCUCUCUCUCUCUAGCUAUACUCUCUCUCU